rnacentral:rRNA from 1 species
UAUUGCACAAUGGGGGAAACCCUGAUGCAGCGACGCCGCGUGAGUGAGGAAGUAUUUCGGUAUGUAAAGCUCUAUCAGCAGGGAAGAAAAUGACGGUACCUGACUAAGAAGCCCCGGCUAACUACGUGCCAGCAGCCGCGGUAAUACGUAGGGGGCAAGCGUUAUCCGGAUUUACUGGGUGUAAAGGGAGCGUAGACGGAAUUGCAAGUCUGAUGUGAAAAUCCGGGGCCCAACCCCGGAACUGCAUUGGAAACUGUAUUUCUAGAGUGUCGGAGAGGCAAGUGGAAUUCCUGGUGUAGCGGUGAAAUGCGUAGAUAUCAGGAGGAACACCAGUGGCGAAGGCAGCUUACCAAACUAUAUCUGACGUUGAGGCACGAAAGCGUGGGGAGCAAACAGG